UACGGAGGGUGCAAGCGUUGUCCGGAAUCACUGGGCGUAAAGGGCGCGUAGGCGGCUUCAUGAAGGCUGUGGUGAAAGUCCCGGGGCUCAACCUCGGAUCGGCCGUGGCGACUCGUGGCUGGAGCACUGUAGAGGCGGGUGGAAUUCCGGGUGUAGCGGUGGAAUGCGUAGAGAUCCGGAAGAACACCAGUGGCGAAGGCGGCCCGCUGGGCAGCUGGCUGACGCUGAGGCGCGACAGCGGUGGGGAGCAAACGAG
rnacentral:rRNA from 1 species